rnacentral:piRNA from 1 species
UACACAGUCUGAGAAUCGGAUGCUGUGGG